ensembl:lncRNA
CGUGGACAAAGUGUAGGUUAAAUAAGAUUUAUUUGACAGUUCGGAGAUUAUAAUUUCCUAUCAGAUAGGAAACACUUAUGUUUUAGCAUCUGGACCUCACUGAGCUUGCGGGGGUGUUUCGUUCGUAACCAAUCAGAAACAACGAACGAAUCUUUAAUUACUCUUUUUUCUUUUUGACUCUGGUUUUAAAGAAUCGGUUGAGUGAAUGACUCACUAUAGGGUUCUAUCGAUGAUUCAUUCAUAAAACACAGAUACGUUCACUUGCCGCCGCCUGCUGGUGUAGCAGUUAAUCGCGGUCUUAAUUUCAACAGCAAAGAAUGGUUAAACAAGUUUAAAGACUCAGACGAGGCCCAGUUAGUUCCGCUGGACUCUGAGAAGAAUGUAAAAUGAAAAUGCACAACCGAAAGAAAGGAUAUGGUUUUAAGGAGGACCGUAUGUUCAAACAUUAACGUUUUUAGAGAAAACAGUGUGAAUGUUACCCACAGGUCAUGGUGUCAGUGGACGGGCAGAAUGGAGUUUUGUACAGCUCCAACAAUACUGAUGUGAAUGAGAGGGGUGAUGAGCUAUGGUAAGAGUUUCAUUGAUACUAUUGUUUUAUGGAUACCUGGUUUAAAGAGCACAAAUGAAUAAAAGUAAAUAACAUCCUUUAUGCA